rnacentral:lncRNA from 1 species
UUCUUUAUAUUUUAGCACCCCAUUUUAUUGUCUAUUUUUAUUGUUUGGUUCCAUUUAUCUAUAUUCUAUUUUUUCCGCCUAUUACUAUCUAUUGUUUAAAACACUCAUUCAAAACCCUCAAAGAGGGAUAUUUUUUUCAGCACCUCGUUAAAGUUGUUUUUACAUCUGUUCACAACAGUGUCCUACAUUUUAACAGUGUUACAAAAUAUUCAUUUUUAUCCUAUCUUAUUUAUUUUCAGUUCUUACAAAAUAUCAGGAUAUUCAUUUUCAAAAUCC